rnacentral:rRNA from 1 species
CCUACGGGAGACAGCAGUAGGGAAUAUUGCUCAAUGGGGGAAACCCUGAAGCAGCAACGCCGCGUGGAGGAUGAAGGUUUUCGGAUUGUAAACUCCUUUUGUUAGAGAAGAUAAUGACGGUAUCUAACGAAUAAGCACCGGCUAACUCCGUGCCAGCAGCCGCGGUAAUACGGAGGGUGCAAGCGUUACUCGGAAUCACUGGGCGUAAGGAGCGCGUAGGCGGGAUAGCAAGUCAGAUGUGAAAUCCUAUGGCUUAACCAUAGAACUGCAUUUGAAACUGUUAUUCUAGAGUAUGGGAGAGGUAGGUGGAAUUCUUGGUGGAGGGGUAAAAUCCGUAGAGAUCAAGAGGAAUACUCAUUGCGAAGGCGACCUGCUAGAACAUAACUGACGCUGAUGCGCGAAAGCGUGGGGAGCAAACAGAAUUAGAUACCCGGGUAGUC